CAACUGUUUUAAGUAUCUGAAUUACUAACCGAAAUAUACAAUAAUCGAAUAACCAAAUACCCGAAUAACCGAAUAAUACGGUUAAUCGGUUAAUAACCGAAUAUGAUGGUUUGCAACUUUGCAUAAAAUCAGAGCAGCAGAGAUAAAACAAUAUAUCAGAUCUGAAACAAGACCACAACUCCACAUGGUAACAAAUAGAUUUGAGAAAUUUUAUAUAUAUGAAUAGCUUUACAUUUGCAUUCAGUCAUAAUGGUAGAAAAAGAGGGGGGAAAUGGCUGAGAUCUUGGACGACUCCGCCACCGCCGAUGAUAUCAAGUACGCUGCCAGUCACCCCAGUCGCUCCUACAUACUCGACGCCAAGCUAGGCCAUGGCGGUGACACCUGCUAACGUCAAGCUAGGAAUACCCCAACUCAUAUGCCUUCUGCAUUCAAUCUUCAUCAUCGAUUGGUCUGAAAUAGAUUAGUGGAGAGAUUACAACAAGCAGUCAAGCACAGAUUAGUGGAAGAGGACAACAAGCACAUAUUAGUGGAGAGAGAAGGCAGGAGGAAGAGAAGGAAGGGGGCAAAGUUCGUGAAUCGUGAGAAUAAAAAUAGAACUGGAAAUCCGAAAUAGAUCUGAGAUACUUAAGACUUAAUCUGCAUAGUAUCCCUUGUGUAUACCUAGAAGAUGGAGGAGAAGAAUAGCUCUCUCUUUCUCUCUAUCAAUUGAUAGAGAGAGAAAUUAGGGUUUUGUUGAUGGGUCGAAGAGAUAGUGACGACUGAGAAAAGUGAGAAAUGAAAAUUUGAGGUGUGAAGUUAUUAUUUC
rnacentral:lncRNA from 1 species